rnacentral:rRNA from 1 species
UACGAAGGGGGCUAGCGUUGUUCGGAAUUACUGGGCGUAAAGCGCGCGCAGGCGGCUAUCCAAGUCAGUGGUGAAAGCCCGGAGCUCAACUCCGGAACUGCCAUUGAAACUGUUUAGCUUGAGGACGAGAGAGGUGAGUGGAAUUCCCAGUGUAGAGGUGAAAUUCGUAGAUAUUGGGAGAACACCGGUGGCGAAGGCGGCUCACUGGCUCGUUUCUGACGCUCAGGCGCGACAGCGUGGGGAUCAAACAGG